GGUUAUUGGCUGGCGGGAAGGAAAAGAUAUAUCAGAUGCUGGGGUGAAACACCAAGUGUGCUUAUUGAAGCAUUGUUCUUAAUCAUGGAAAGCAGGCAUGGCAGACCACAGUUUUGGACCAUCAGCACAGCAAACAUGUUGAAGGCAGACUUGAAGGCUGUAUCCCUGCCCCUCUGCCUGGCUACGGCUGUGUGUUCACUAAGAAUCCACCUGACGGCAGCUGAAUGCGAGCUAUAUUCUUCCCCAUGAAACAGAUCUAUGAAGGGAACUUGCAAAAUGCAUUUGAUCUUGGAUUUUUCAAAGAAAAGACAAUUGAAAAUAUAGCAGCAAGUGUGUCGCACGAAACUGUUCAGCUCUAUACCUUGGGAAAAUAAUACCAUGUAAUUUUCUCUUGAUAUGAGAAGAAAAUAGGUAUCAACAUCCUCCUGGGCUGUUUUAUUUGAAUUCACUCUUGUAACCAUCAGAGGGAAGUAGGCGGGAGCCAUGUGCAACCAAAGAGCGGAAGUGAGCCCCGAUCAGCUGUAU
rnacentral:lncRNA from 1 species